rnacentral:rRNA from 1 species
GAUGAACGCUGGCGGCGUGCCUAAUACAUGCAAGUCGAGCGAACGGACGAGAAGCUUGCUUCUCUGAUGUUAGCGGCGGACGGGUGAGUAACACGUGGAUAACCUACCUAUAAGACUGGGAUAACUUCGGGAAACCGGAGCUAAUACCGGAUAAUAUUUUGAACCGCAUGGUUCAAAAGUGAAAGACGGUCUUGCUGUCACUUAUAGAUGGAUCCGCGCUGCAUUAGCUAGUUGGUAAGGUAACGGCUUACCAAGGCAACGAUGCAUAGCCGACCUGAGAGGGGGGAUCGCCAAACCUGAACUUGAACACGGGUCAGGCUCCUAAGGGAAGGCGGCGUAGGGAAAUCUUCGCAAUUGGGGGAAGGCUUACGGAGCCAAGGCGGGGGAGGUAUGAAGGUUCUUCGAUUGGUAAACCCUUGUAAUAGGGAAGAAAAAAUUUUGAAGGUAACAGGGCCGACCUGAAGGGACCCAAAUAGAAAGCCCCGGCUAACCACGGU